ACCCAGAGUUGCAUUGAACACAUAAAAAAAAAAAAAAAAAAUUCCUCGUUUCGCUUGAUAAAUGAAAAAUUUAACAAGCUUUGCAGCUUGUGUGUGUAUGGGGGUAACAAAUAAAAAAUGAAAUGGCUAAAGCCGAAAAAUGCCGCAGAUCCAUAAAAGGCCCGUUACAAUCUGUUAGGUCCUGGGUUGCCCAACUGGCAGGGUUGCCACCACCACAAAUCAUGCAGCUGGCAUUCUGAAUCAACAUGGAAAUGCCAUCGUUGGCCAAUGCAUGGCAUUUAAUGCGAAUGCGAAACUAAAAAUAAAUACAAAGAAAAGGCAACUACUUCGGCCGGGCAAAACAUGCAACAUUCGAAACAUUUUUCAAGUUACCAACUGGAGGAGAAAUGACAUUCACAGCCCAAAUGGAUUGUGCAAACUCCAUGUUACAUUGUGCACAUAGCUAUAUGUAUAGAUUUUAUUUUACAAAUUAAACAGCAGUCGCCACAGUCCGAUUUUAGUUGCUCUCCUUAGUUUCAGUUCGGUUCCUACUUUUUUUGUUGCACGGGUGCGUGUUGCGGUCUCAUAAAAAUUUCAGCUAAAAACUCGGAAAGCUCUCCGAUUUCUGUUAUGGCAGCCAUUUUGGAUUAGCCACCAUGAAGUGGUCCGUUUUUUGUGUGUGGGUGUGUGGCAAUAAAAGGAAAUCAAAGUUUAUGACAUUCACUGGGCAUUUGCACUUGGGCGAGUGUGUGUGUGUGUGUGGGCCAAAAGUUGGAAGUGGAUAAGGCGGCAAAGUCCUUUAGCUUUAUCGAUGUCUGUCUGGGAAACUGUAAUCGCUUGGGGGAUAAAUGUUGUUUAAGAUCUUUAAAUUGGCAUUGCAGACAGUAUCAUUGCGGCAAAGGAUUUAUAGUUGCUGGCCAAUUAUGCGCUAAAUUAUUCAAAGGCCGAUGGCAACGAAUGGCUAUUUGUUUUAUAAUCAGUUGCCGUAUUUAGAAUAUAAACAUUCUUAAGGGGCACCUUUACACCUAUGUGUCAUUUUCUCCCUCAUUAGCCAAGCAAUCAAAUCAAACAAAUUGUUGACAAAAUUCCAGCGAAGUAAAUAAAUAAAAACGCCCGAGGUCAUUAAAUCCGACUCACGCACGCCUCACUCAAACGCACCACCCACAAAAAGCACCCAAAUGGGACAGCAACCACCAAAUCAACGCAAAUUACAAUAACUAAAUGCUUUUGCUUGCCCUAUAAAAAAAAUUCAGGAAAAAAUGCCCAUAUUACGUAUGUAUAAACGGGAGUUGGUCCUGACGCUAAAUAAAUAAACUGUUAAAAUAUGCAACACACUGCGAGAAAAAGCGCGUGGCAAAACUACUAAAAAAAAAAAGUAAGUGUGAAGCAAAUUUCCAUAAAUCACAUUUCAGCGAGGUAACUUUUCGCGUGACAAAAAUCAACUAAUGUGGUUAAUAAAAAUAAAACAGAGAAAAAAAAAUGAAAACAGAAACCUGCCGAGAGUGGGCGUGGCCAAGAGGAUGAGGGGCGUGACAAAAGUUUAUUGCAAAGUUAAACUGAACUUAGGGAACAAACGAUGGAAAAGCCUGAGCUUGGAGGCAAGAAAAUUUCCGUCGGGCGGGUGGGAAAAUAGCACCCACUACCCCAUGGGCAUGUAAAUCACUUUCAGCGAAAACUUUUCCCACCAAACGUUGCUCGAAAUUUAUGCAAAUGUUGUUGAUGUUGCUACUGUUAUUGCUCUUGUUGUUUUUGUUGUUAUUCUCUCACCUGCAGCAGCGCCACCUGACAGUGGCAAUUGUCGUUGACAUUUUCACCUGCUUUUCCUUGGGUGUGAUAAAAAUAAAAAAAGAAGCCGAGCUAAACUUUUCGGCCCAAAAAAAACACACACACAAACGAAAAAAGAAGUAAAAGAAAUUCUUAAAUGGCUUUUAAAUACAUCCCAACACUUGGAAAAGUGUUGUUUUGAAAACCAGUAUAGCAGGAUGUUGGAAAAGGGUGCAUUUCCCAUUUCCUCGUUGACUGAAACUUUUCUGUGGGUUUUAUGAGCAGUAGUUUCAUGUUGAUUUAUGUUCGAUACAUAUCUGGCAUUAAUAGUGUGGUGGAGGGUGUAUUUCGUAGGCACUUCGACUGACAGUCUGUCUAGUUAGUAAACCUCUGAAGAAAUGCCUGCCCGACGGUAAAAUGACAGAAAAUCAAUGAAUAUUGAAAUGCGUUCAUUUUUGGUUUUUAUGAGUGGCCCAAAAUGGAAUAGGGGGAACGAAAUCAGGGGAGUUGGGGUGUUGAGCUUGCCUGCGAUUAGGAAAUAAAAUGGGGGCAGAAAAUAACCAAUAAUUCAUUAGGUGUCUGUCACUAUAUAUAUGAGCAAACACCUGCGCAUUCGAACAAUUUGAGGGGAUGGAAAAGUUGGGCCAUUCAGUUAGUUAUUGAAGUAAUCGAUUUGACAUCACAAUGCACUGAAUUUAAGUUAAGUUAGGGAGUACAAUUUAACUAAAUUAUUAAAUUGGGUAAAUUUACUAGAAUUAUUAUAUACAAUAGAUUAAGUUAUAGUAACCUUAAAGCCUUCGUAGACAAACAUAAAUUUGUAUCUGAAAGCAUUUUGUGCCUCGGUCGCCCACAGUAGCUUGUGUUUAGUUUUAUUUUUUCUGCAAAAGUACCCACAUGGAGAGGAAACGACGGGGACGGAAAGGACCUCAGCCAUUGUCCCACCACAUAUGGCAGCUUAAUUUCAUUUAGCUGUGACCUCCCUUGCCCUGCGCCUUUCCUUUCCUUCGGGCCAUUCUCAUGAAUUUUUCUCAUGGUCUUCGUACGCUUUUCUAAAUGCGAAAUUCCCCGCCUAUAGACGACAACACGCCCACAAAAUGGCAUUCAAGAGGAGGUGAUGCAGGGGGGGCAGGGGGGCUGGUGGGGGCAGCGGGCGAGGGAAAUGCAACUGCCAGCUCACUCAUUAUGUCCUAGACAGGGCUGGAAUCCUAAAGACCGACAGGGCACACAUUAAAAUUGUAUGGUGUGGCAGGGUGCGCAAGGCAGGUGCACCGAAAAAAUAAAAAGAAAUUUGAAAAAUAUGCUCUAAAUGCAAACCAAAACAUUAAAGUUGAUAGAUUGAAUAAUUAUUAUUAUAAUAUGCAGCUAGCUUCUGAAAAAUAGAAAUUAUAGAUGAAAUAACACUAUUUAAACGAAAUGUAGAAGGAUUUGGGUUAGAAAAAAAUAUAUAGUUUAGAAAUAUCUUACAUAUACAGAACUUCAGACAGGUGGUAUUUACUUUAAAAUCUGCCCUUUUCUGUUGCUCUGUAGUUGCGAAACGUUGCCUACUUUUGUGGCCGUCGUCUAGUUCAAACACACCGAGAAACAAGAGAGGGCCACAAGGACUAAGGACGAGGCGGUCAAGACAGGAAAUGUUGCUCCCUCCUUCGUCCUGAUCACGAUGUGUGUGCCUGUGUGUGUGAGCCAGAAUCGAGGAAAUGAAGGCGGCACCGGCAGCGAGGGGGCGUGGCCGUGUUACUUGCGCUUUUUCCGCAUGCUUUCUGUUUACAUUUUCACGGAGGACACACGCUCCUGCCGUUGAGCGAACCACAAGCUUAAUGCGGAACUUUAAGCAGUUUUGCGACGGCCACUGGGAAAAUGGCCACUGAAAUGGAAAUUCAAUUUGAAAAUGCUGCAGACACACGGGGGCGGUCGGUCAAUCAAAGAGUUUGACAGUUUGUACACCUGGUGUGGGUUAUUUAAUUUGCAAAUAGAAACUAAUUUACCGGCAAUUAGCAGCAGGCAGGCAGCUACACCGAAGGCAAAAGCAAACAAGGACGAGCAGACAAGUCCUGUGAAUGCCACCUCUCCACUCCACUCACUCACUCAGCGUCCAAAUACCGAUUGUUGGUUUGCUUAGCAAUUAAUGAUUUUCAGUUAAUUUGAGAGGCAAGUCGGGCAUGAAAUUGAAUUUAAGACGCUGAGCACGUAGCAAUCAUAACCAAAAAAUAUUGCCCCCCAAUGCUCCUGCCGGACCAAAAGGAGUGAGUGAAAGUGCCAGUGGCAGAGCAUGGAGGCAUUCCUGUCAAUUAAUAGCAGUUUGUGGAUGGAGUCCACAGAGGAAGUAUUGCCAGGCGAUGAAGUGUUGAUCCCGGAGAAGUCACGUAUUCGGGAAGUGAGCAAAUGAAU